GACGAACGCUGGCGGCGUGCUUAACACAUGCAAGUCGAACGGAAAGGCCCGGCUUUUGUGGGGUGCUCGAGUGGCGAACGGGUGAGUAACACGUGAGUAACCUGCCCUUGACUUUGGGAUAACUUCAGGAAACUGGGACUAAUACCGGAUAGGAGCUCCUGCUGCCUGGUGGGGGUUGGAAAGUUUCGCCGGUUGGGGAUGUACUCGCGGCUUCUCAGCUUGUUGGUGGGGUAGUGGCUUACCAAGGCUUUGAUGGGUCGCCGCCCUGAAAGUGUGACCGGCCACAGGGGGCCUGGGAGACGGCCCGUACGCAAUCGGGAGGAAAGAGCGGGGAACAUUGCAAACAGCGCGGAAGCAUGGUGCAGCAACGCCGGGUGCGGGAUGUCGGCUUUCGGGGUGUAACCAGUUUUCGCGUGUGACGAAGCGUGAGGACGGGUAAUGGGCAAAGAAGCACGGCUAAACUACGU
rnacentral:rRNA from 1 species